UUUAGUGUUGCGUGUUUGGUAGCGAGCGUGUCAAAUGGCUGCUGAUCAAGACUCGAGGAAGCAGGACAGAGUCGUCUGUCCCCAUCUCCUGCUCAGGGGCCAAGCAACGGGGAGCAACAAGGACGUCAACAAUAACGACGGUAACCAUAACCAUGAGGGUGACUGGGUUAGUAGCCCCGCCAUGCAUUGUUGUGCCCCGGUAUUAUGCUCAUGUGGAAUAAACUCCAACAGCCCUCCCUUUAAGACAUUAUCAGGACGGGAAAGGGUCUCAACAAUGGAUAACACCAACAUGUUAAAGUGACCUGAGACAAUGCAUUUACAUUUAGGGCAUUUAGCAGAUGCUUUUAUCCAAACCAACUUGCAAUGAGUACAUUGUUAACCCAUUCCCCAUACACAACAAAGAUAGCUAGGAUAGAUGAUACAAAACAAAGUACUAUUUUUUAAGUGCCAGGACGUACGUAAGACAUACAAUAAGUGCGUACAUUAAGUGCCAAGACGUACAACACACAAUAAGUGGGUAGGAGGGGUAGGAGGAGUUGGCUAUGCAGAGUCUAGCUGAAAUUUAACUCUCACUCCAUUGGAUUUUGUUUUACUUGUGACAGAAUUUGCACAUGUGUAUUUAUUUUUGCAAGCAUAUUUAAUGCAACUCUGAAUGUGGUGUUAAUUUUUUGCAUUACUUGCUCUUUCUGCAUUGACGUGACUCCACCGCAAAAACUUUUCUAAUGUCCUAUUCAAGAGGACAUUGUUUAGACGGCAUAACCAGACCAUCCAGCGUGCUUUGUAAAUCAUGUUUACACUCUGGCUUAGUGCAUAGUAUAAACAGCGAGCCGAUCGUGAGUACUAUGUACAUCCCGUAUGUCAUCGUGGAUGUCACUGUGUUAAUAAGAGGACCGACAGAGAAGACUGACCCUCAGAGUCUGGAGCACAGAGUUUUAACGCCGGCAAGAUGGGAGGGGAAGCAACAAUAAUGAAACGGAUCAGUGUCCAUACGUGAAGAGAACUCAGGGGGAUUUCACCUUAAGCAGGAUCUAAUGCAGGGGAAAUUUGGGUCAUCAAUCUCUCAAUAUGGGUGUUGUGUUUUACUCCACUGCGGAUCUAAAGACGCUGGGGAAAUAUAAUAGACUUCUAGAACUGACAAUAUAUACGAGCUGUGUGCUUGAAGGGUGCAUUCGCGGGAUGAUACACACUUGGGUACACUCUAAAUGCACAUGCACAAUAAACCACGCAUACAUCCACACACACACACACACACACACACACGCGCACACACACACACACACACACACACACACACACACACACACACACACACACACACACACACACACACACACACACACACACACACACACACACACACACACACACACACACACACACACACACACACAGGUCUGUUAUCCUCCAGGAUCAUAUAGCGCCACAAAGAAAACAGAGCAGUUGGAGGAGAGAAGCAGGAGGUAUUUGGGAGUAGAGAGGAGAGGAGGAGGUGAGGAAAGAGGAGGUUAGGAGAGAAGGGAGCAGAGUUCACAGCAAAAUGUCCUUCAGAACACAGGCAGGAAGAAGCGAUGCAAGGCUACCCAACAAGAACUGAGAGAACAAUGCUGUUUUUUAAGGAAACGAUACAGAAGGUGAGAAUAGACCAGAAACUGGAAACAAAUAAUCCUUCUCCUUUCAAAUAAUAAGAUAAAAUAAGACGGAAUCAUUCGAUCAGCUGAUAUUUACACUAAUUUGUUGAGCCUAGGUAGAGUGCAUGACGAAAUAUUGCUGCUUUUUACGGCGAACAUAAAACAAAAUAAAUGAAAAUGUAAAGUAUACAUCAUUAAAGUAGUUGAUCGACAUUAAACCAUGCAGCCUAGUUGUACUUCACUUUGACUUUUGAAGUAAGUUUGAGGCCCGAUCCUUGGAAAAAUAAAUUAGGGAAAACUGACUCGCACACAGUCACACAAUUUUAAUGAUAAUACUAAACAAAACCCCAUCUGGUGUCUGGAAAUGUCCUAUUUAGCAGAUGAUGU